rnacentral:lncRNA from 1 species
UUUUUUUGUUUGUUUUGUUUGUUUGUUUAUUUGUUUACUUUUUAAUUGUGGGGAUUGAACACAGAAUCUUUUCCAUGCUAAUCAGUGGCUCUACCACAAAGCUUUACCUCUGAUUCAUUGGAGGUUUGGGUAAUUCCAAGAUUCAGGAAAUUGUCCCCAGAGCACCGAAAUGAGUCCCUUCAUCAUAGGAAAAUGUGAAAUUGAAAUAGUACCUGGUAAAUCCAAAGAACUUAAUCAGUUGCUGUGUUUUAUUUCACAUGUCAUUUGAUACCUUGUUUAACAGUCUAGAGUUUCUUAUUCCAGAGACUCAGCUUUGUCCUUUAUUUACUUAAUGAAACUUCAUUUUAUAUUGGUCACAGAAAAUGAUAUAUCCUCUGUGUUUAUUGGAUCAUUCCCUCCAUUCUGGCCUGGUUCCCUCUUUUUGGCACUUCUGUCACCUGCUUAUUUAUCUCGGCUCAUGCAUAUGCUCUCCACACUCACCCUGUCCCCAGCAUUUGGAACCAUCUAGCUACAAUGCAAAUGUGACUAUGAACCUCUCUCUAGAGCAUGAAAGGCCAGCUUUUAAAAUUACCCAGAAAUCUUUCGUGAGUUCAGCCUAACUCUAUUUCUUCUUUUGCCUUCACUGUCCUCUGGCAUUGCUCCUGAGCAGCCCUGUAUUUUCAGGCACAUACUGACCCACUUAAUGCUUGACUCUGUGUCCAGCUACAGCCUUUCAAGCUCUUUCCACUUUCUGCCUCUGACUGGUAACCUCACUUCAUUUAGUCUCUGCUGAGUCCUAGCUUCAGGAAGCCAUGAUCCCUAGCAUCUUUUUACUCUCUUCUCACUUACAAAAGGAGCAUAAUCAAUUUUGGGUUCAAAUAAACUGUUGAUGCCAAAUGAUGUAAAAGAAGUCACCUCAAGUCUAGGAGCCAAAGGGCUAGACAAG